rnacentral:tRNA from 64 species
GGGGGAUUAGCUCAGCUGGCUAGAGCGCCUGCCUUGCACGCAGGAGGUCAUCGGUUCGACUCCGAUAUUCUCCACGA